rnacentral:rRNA from 1 species
CAGCCGCCACGGUAAUACGUAGGUGGCAAGCGUUGUCCGGAAUUAUUGGGCGUAAAGCGCGCGCAGGUGGUUUAAUAAGUCUGAUGUGAAAGCCCACGGCUCAACCGUGGAGGGUCAUUGGAAACUGUUAAACUUGAGUGCAGGAGAGAAAAGUGGAAUUCCUAGUGUAGCGGUGAAAUGCGUAGAGAUUAGGAGGAACACCAGUGGCGAAGGCGGCAUUUUGGCCUGUAACUGACACUGAGGCGCGAAAGCGUGGGGAGCAAACAGGAUUAGAUACCCGAGUAGUCCCUGUCUCUUAUAC